AGUGAACGCUGGCGGUAGGCCUAACACAUGCAAGUCGAACGGCAGCACAGUAAGAGCUUGCUCUUACGGGUGGCGAGUGGCGGACGGGUGAGGAAUACAUCGGAAUCUACUUUUUCGUGGGGGAUAACGUAGGGAAACUUACGCUAAUACCGCAUACGACCUACGGGUGAAAGCAGGGGAUCUUCGGACCUUGCGCGAUUGAAUGAGCCGAUGUCGGAUUAGCUAGUUGGCGGGGUAAAGGCCCACCAAGGCGACGAUCCGUAGCUGGUCUGAGAGGAUGAACAGGCACACUGGGACUGGAGCACGGGCCAGACUCCUACGGGGAGACGCAGUGGGGAAUCUUGGACGAUGGGGGCGAGCCUGAUCCAGCCAUACCGCGUGGGUGAAGAAGGCCUUCGGGUUGUAAAGCCCUUUUGUUGGGGAAGAAAAACAGCAGGUUAAUACCCCGCUGUUAUGACGGUACCCAAAGAAUAAGCACCGGCUAACUUCGUG
rnacentral:rRNA from 1 species